UGAAUACGAGAUGCUACGGCGUCGAAGCAGUGUAUGUCAUACUUCCAAGAAAAGCUCGCUAUGUCAUAAACAAUUAAUGCCUGUACCAUAACCGACACAGGUGGGUAGGCAGAGUAUACUAAGGGGCGCGAGAUAACUCUCUCUAAGGAACUCGGCAAAAUGACUCCGUAACUUCGGGAGAAGGAGUACCUUAUUUAUAAGGUUGCAAUAACAAGAUCCAAGCAACUGUUUACCAAAAACACAGGUCUCCGCUAAGUCGUAAGACGAUGUAUGGGGGCUGACGCCUGCCCAGUGCCAGAAGGUUAAAGAAGUUGGUUAGCAUUCGCGAAGCUGAUGACUGAAGCCCUGGUGAACGGCGGCCGUAACUAUAACGGUCCUAAGGUAGCGAAAUUCCUUGUCGGGUAAGUUCCGACCCGCACGAAACGCGUAAUGAUUUGGAUACUGUCUCGGAGAGGGGCUCGGUGAAAUAGACUUGUCUGUGAAGAUGCGGACUACCUGCACCAGGACAGAAAGACCCUAUGAAGCUUUACUGUAACUUGAGAUUGAAAUUGGACUUUAUUUGUGCAGUAUAGGUGGGAGGCGUUGAAGAAAUUCUUGCGGGAAUUUUGGAGCCAUCAGUGAGAUACCACCCCUAUAAUGUUAGAUUUCUAACUUUGUAUCAUUAUCUGGUCAAAGAACAGUUUCAGGCGGGCAGUUUGACUGGGGCGGUCGCCUCCCAAAUGGUAACGGAGGCGUACAAAGGUUUCCUCUGAACGGGUAGAAAUCGUAUCUAGAGUAUAAAGGCAUAAGGAAGCUUGACUGUGAGACCUACAAGUCGAGCAGGGACGAAAGUCGGUCUUAGUGAUCUGACGGUGCUGAGUGGAAAGGCCGUCACUCAACGGAUAAAAGUUACUCUAGGAUAACAGGCUGAUCUCCCCCAAGAGUUCACAUCGACGGGGAGGUUUGGCACCUCGAUGUCGGCUCAUCGCAUCCUGGGGCGGUAGUACGUCCCAAGGGUUGGGCUGUUCGCCCAUGAAAGCGGUACGCGACCUGGGUUCAGAACGUCGUGAGACAGUUCGGUCCAUAUCCGGUGUAGGCGUUAGAAUAUUGAGAGGAGCCUUCUUUAGUACGAGAGGACCGAGAAGGACAUACCUCUGGUGUACCAGUUAUCGUGCCAACGGUAAACGCUGGGUAGCUAUGUAUGGAGUGGAUAACCGCUGAAAGCAUCUAAGUGGGAAGCCCACCUCAAGAUAAG
rnacentral:rRNA from 1 species